rnacentral:rRNA from 1 species
GACGUAGGGCGCGAGCGUUGUCCGGAUUUAUUGGGCGUAAAGAGCUCGUAGGCGGCUUGUCGCGUCGAAUGUGAAAACUUGGGGCUCAACUCCAAGCUUGCAUUCGAUACGGGCAGGCUAGAGUUCGGUAGGGGAGACUGGAAUUCCUGGUGUAGCGGUGAAAUGCGCAGAUAUCAGGAGGAACACCGGUGGCGAAGGCGGGUCUCUGGGCAGUAACUGACGCUGAGGAGCGAAAGCGUGGGGAGCGAACAGG